UUUAAAAAGCUGAACUCCGAUCAACUGACUGUGGACAAACCCGCCUCUUCCAGGCUUGGAGAUGACAGGACCUCAGAUGCCCAGCUAAAGAACGGUUGUGCCGUGGGAAAGAGGCGAUGAAGGAGCCACACAGGCUGUUUCAUUAAGACUGCAGGUAUCCGGGCCUACAGCACUUCAGGAUCUGGUGCUCCCAGAAGGCUAUGAGAACAAGGAUCUUCAUUCCUUCCACACUGCCAGGGUGUGUCCCUCUGCAACCACAAUACACCCGGAGGAUGUAGAAAAACGUGGAGCAAACAAACAGCCAAACAGCUGACCCACACAGGGGGCUGCCCUAGCCCCUCCUCUAUACGGAGCCGGUGCAUCAGUGAUGGGUGAAAAGCUGCUGCCCAGCAAAAGAUGGGGACAGACACACAUGAACACGGGAUCUCGGUGGGAAGGACGGCAAGAGACAGGAAGUCUCCCCAGCGAGAUGCACGAGCCUCAGUGGAGACUCGCCCAGGCCACACACACUGGAAAGGGACCCAGAUGGUGGUGUGGGGAGGAAGAUACGUUGUGAUACCAGGCAUGGUGGCUCACACCUGUGACCCCAGCUCUUAGUUGGCUAAGACAGGAGAAUUGCCGUGGGUUUAAGGUCAGCCUGGCCUGCAUAGCAAGACCCCAUCCAAAACAAAACAAAACAAAGAAGCAAAUCAAAACAGAGAGAGAGGGGUUAGCAGAAACAGGGGGGUGAAUAUGCAUGGUCUACACUAUGCACACGUAGUAAAAUGUUAUAAUAAAGCCCAUUCCUAUGUAUAACUGGUAUGUGCUAAUGAAAACACUUAAAAAGUUAAAAAAUAAACUGAACCAGGGCUGGUGGGUUCCU